UCCAAAAAGAAUUUCUACUUGGGAGCCAUUUUUAGAAAAUUUAAGGAGGAAACUUAAGUUAAGGGGUUUUCAAAUGGCAAUCGGAUUAAAGGUGGAUUUUUUCAAAAGUUGUUUGAUUGGAUUAAAUUUCUCAAGGGAUUUUAUAAGUUGGCGUGUAAUUUUAUGAAUUGUUGUGACAUAAAUCUUCCUUUUAAGUAUUUGGGAUUACCGGUGGGGACGAAUCCGAAAAGAUAUUCUAUUUGGGAGACAUUUUUACAAAAGUUAAGGAGGAAAAUUAAUUGUUGGAAAAAUAUGUACGUUAGUUUUGGUGGCUGUAUUGUUGUUCUAAAUGCGGUGCUAAAUUUGGUACCCAUUUUUCUCCUUUCUUAUUUGAAGAUGCAAGUUAAUUUAUGGAAGAAGAUAGUAAAGAUCCAAAUAGGACUGGAAAAUGGUUUAAGUGGCUGUUUUGGUGGUCGUAUUGUUGUCCAACAUGUUGAAGGUGCUAAACUCGGAAGUUGUGUUGGGUUAAAAGGGAAAAUGGUUUAUCAACAUAUUGAAAAUGGAGGGUUACGUGUGAGAGAUGUAAGGGUAGUCAAAUUGAUUUUAUUGGUAAAAUGGGAAUGGAUGUUGUUACAAAGCGACCAACCUACGUGGAAAGAGUUGGUGGUCGAGAAAUAUGGAAGGGAAGUGGAAAGGCUACUAGAAGGAAGUGGACUCACAUGACCUUAGUACGCAUCUACUUUGUGGAAGGAUGUAAUGUUUUUAGAUUAGGGUGUUGGAUCUAAUUGGUUCAAUUCGGAGGUAGUGGGCAAGUGGGUGAUAGUGGGAGGUGUAAUGACCCGAUUUAUAGGAUAUCCCUUAUUUCUCAUUUUAGAUAUGCACACCACAUGCUUGAUAAAAUGUUUUAGUGAGCAAUUGGAUCUCCGAAGCUUUCUCUCCUAAGUAGCCCUCUUGACCAAUUUUAGAUAUGCACGCUAUGUGUUUGAUAAAAUGUUGCAGUGGAAAGGGAAACUUUCUCUCCAAAGAUAGUCCUCUUUAUUGUUUAAGCUUUCAUUUUUAAUAAUAUUUUUGCUUUGGUUUUCUCUUGAACAAUUUCUAAUAAUUUCUAACAAUUUCUAAUUAUUUGUCUAACUAAUUUAUUUGUGAAAUCGUUCAGCUUUCUUUGAAAACUUAUCAACAUUGAACGAUUAGGUGAUUUGAUGCAAAGUUUAAAUUUUCUCUUUUGUUUUUAAUACAUUAAUUAAAUUAAUUUACCAUUUUUCUUCUCUGAAAAAACUUGGAAGAAUCAUGAAAGGAACUUGGUAACUGAUUUAUGCUUUCACAUGUCUUGCUUCAUAACACAAAUUUCUACUAGAAUAUUUUUGGAAAGCACGGGAGAAGAAAGAAGAAAUGAAAGGGGAUUAAUUGUGAAGUCUUUUGUAUUGAGAGUGUUACUCCAAAAUCCAAAAGUUAUAUUGGCAUUGUUGGUAAGGUGAACAUAAGCGAAAUGUAAGAUGCUAAGAUAUGCAAAAUUUAAGGUGAUAGUAUAUAAUUUAAAGCUUUCAAAAUACACGAUGUCUUUGAUUUUGUUGUUUUGAUGUGUUGGUAAUUUUGCUUAUAUUUAAAAAUGGAGGGAGUAGUAAAUUAUUUUGAAUUUAGUAUUUCAUUGAGUUAUUUUUGUGGCUCAAUUCCAUGUUAUAGACUUUGAGGGCUAUCUCAUCUACAUUGUUUUGGCUUUCGACAAAACAAUUUUAUUUUUAUUUUUUUAGGGAUACAAAACAAUGUUGUAGAUUGUGAUUUUGACCUAUUUUUUGUAUUCUUUAUCAUUUGUUUAAGUUUAUUUUCAACCGUAAAUUCUUAUUACAUCUCAUUCAUUUUAGAAACAAAAAUUGUUAGGCCUUUUGAUUACAUUAAAGACAUCAAUAGCCACGCACAGUUGUAGAAGUUGACUGAUAAUACAGAAGUUAACUGUUACGGAUUAAAAACUCCGAAGGUCUUUAACUUUAUAAACACUCCAAACGUAAUGCCAUAAGAUUAAAAUGUAAAGGAAAAAAGGCUACCAUUGCUAUCUAGUAAUUAAUUAAGUACUUGUAUUCUUUUAGAAUUCAUUAAUCUUUUUUAUCAACUCCCAAAUACGAGUCAUCAAUUUUCUUCAUUUUCCAAUACCCCAUUUUUUCUAUCAAAUCUACUUUUAUUUUCCCAAGCGGUCAAUACUUUUAAUUUAAUCUAAACACUACGUAGAAUGCAAAAAGUUAUUUGUGAUCCUAUUGAUGAUUUGAUGCUCAUAUUUUAGGUAAACUAUUCAAUUAAUUUUUGGGUACUGUAUACUACCUCCAUCCCUAAUUA